rnacentral:rRNA from 1 species
UACGAAGGGGGCUAGCGUUGCUCGGAAUCACUGGGCGUAAAGUGUGCGCAGGCGGCCGAGCAAGUCGAGUGUGAAAGCCCCGGGCUUAACUUGGGAAUUGCGCUCGAAACUACUUGGCUGGAGUGCGGCAGAGGGGGGUGGAAUUCCACGUGUAGCAGUGAAAUGCGUAGAGAUGUGGAGGAACACCGAUGGCGAAGGCAGCCCCCUGGGCCGACACUGACGCUCAGGCACGAAAGCGUGGGGAGCAAACAGG